rnacentral:misc_RNA from 1 species
CGUAACAAGGUUUCCGUAGGUGAACCUGCGGAAGGAUCAUUAAAAAAUAUCACAUUUGUUUGUGAUUUAAUAAUCAUCCUACCCUUUGUGAAUUUGUUUUUGUUUGAAAUUUAUGUUGUCUAUCCCUGGAAUUGGAAGAAAGUUGUAAAAGAUUUUUUUUUCAUUCAGGAAUAGGCUUUCAUAGACAUUUUUUUAAAUUAAACAUUUGUAUUCAUUUGUCUAAAAUUUAUUUUAAUAAUUUAAAAACAACUUUUGACAAUGGAUCUCUUGGUUCUCGCAACGAUGAAGAACGCAGCAAAAUGCGAUAAGUAAUGUGAAUUGCAGAAUACGUGAAUCAUCAAAUUUUCGAACGCAUAUUGCACUUUUUUAGUUUACUAAAAAAGUAUGUCUGUUUGAGUAUCAGUAAAAUAUUCUCAUAAAAACUAUUGUUUUUAUGGUUAUGAGUGUUUUACAACGAUAACAAGUUGUUUCACUUUAAAUUGAUUUUUUUAAUAAGCCAAUUUGGUUUUAUUUUUAAAAUUGGAUAAAAUUUUCCCGUAAAAAGGAAUAAACUUUUCAGUUUUAAAGUUAAAACUUAAAUUGACCUACAAAAAAGGAAAUUUAAUUAUAAAAACUAACUUGAUCUCAAAUCAGAUAAGAGUACCCGCUGAACUUAAGCAUAUCAAUAAGCGGAGGAAAAGAAACUAACAAGGAUUCCCUUAGUAACGGCGAGUGAAGCGGGAAGAGCUCAAAUUUGAAAUCUUCAAGGUUCUACCUUGACGAAUUGUAGUUUAAAGAAGUGUUUUCUGUUAGUGGAGUGGCAAAAGUUCUUUGGAAUAGGACAUCAUAGAGGGUGAGAAUCCCGUAUUUGGUCAUUCCUUCUAGCUUUGUGAUACACUUUCAAAGAGUCGGAUUGUUUGGGAAUGCAGUCCAAAAUGGGUGGUAAAUUUCAUCUAAAGCUAAAUAUUGGCGAGAGACCGAUAGCGAACAAGUACCGUGAGGGAAAGAUGAAAAGAACUUUGAAAAGAGAGUUAAACAGUACGUGAAAUUGUCAAAAGGGAAGCGUUUGACACCAGUGUUGUUUUUCCGAAAAUCAAUUAUAAAUGUUUUGUUUCUGAGGAGUGAUGACUUCAUCGGCUUCCUUCUCUCUUCACGAAACUUUUGUAAUGCACUUUUCGGUUAACAAGUCAACAUCAAUUUCUUUUGUUGUAAAAGAGUAUUCGGAAGGUGGCUUUCUUUUCGGAGAAAGUGUUUAUAGCCCUAUACUUCUACAAUCGGAGAGAUUGAGGUCUGCAGCGUAGAUCCUUCGGGGUUAGAUACACUUGUGCUAAGUUAUAGCUUUUCAUAGACAACUUGUUGACUAUGUUUAGUCUUGUAGCUUACUCGCUUGUGCUAUUUUACCUACGCUUAGGAUGUUGAC